AAAAAGUACUAGUUAUGUGCAUCAUACUGAUGACAUUAAAGUUUGAUACUAAUAGCGAUUUUAUAAUGAAUUUCUAAAACGUAUUGUAUAAAGUAUAUGAUUUUGAUGUAAUUUUAAUGAAGUCCUAAAUAGUUCAGAAUGUGGUUACUAUAUUAUGUAAAAAAACAUGUAUCCGUAGUGUAUAUGGGGGAGAUAUAUGUAUACUUCAUUUAGCUAUAAUGAUGACAAUAAAAAUUGUACGUUAUUAUACGAUGAAGCACAAUAUGGAAAUAUUAAACAUAAAUUAAUUGUAGGUUCCAAUCGGUUGAUUUCUUAAAAGGAAAAAUAGAUAAUUAUGUUAAAUCAAGAAAUAUUAAUUUAGUGGCAUUAGACUGUAAUUAUUUAGAAAAAAUCAGGGUCAAAUCUUAUUUGUACUCCAGUUUUAAUAGAUUAGAUAUUUGUGUAAAAAAAGAAGUUCCUAAUAUUACUUUUUAUGUCAUAUUUUUAACUACGAUAAACUGAUUUUGAAAAGAAAUAUAUUUCGUUACAUGUUCUUAAUCUAUUAAGUGUGCCACUUAAUCGUUCAGUUUUUUUUUUCAUAAUAUUUUGCUAAUAUUAUUCCUUUAUGGAUCCAAUUAUAAUCUGCUCUAGUAUCCAUUAAUGCAAUUAUAUCUAUUUUGAAAUCAUGUCGUAUAUGUAAAGUAAUACUUGUAUACCAGUUUUGUAACUAAUUUUAUUAAUUAUUUGGAUAUAUACAGUAGAAC
rnacentral:lncRNA from 1 species